GACGAACGCUGGCGGCGUGCUUAACACAUGCAAGUCGAACGGAAAGGCCCUGCUUUUGUGGGGUGCUCGAGUGGCGAACGGGUGAGUAACACGUGAGUAACCUGCCCUUGACUUUGGGAUAACUUCAGGAAACUGGGGCUAAUACCGGAUAGGAGCUCCUGCUGCAUGGUGGGGGUUGGAAAGUUUCGGCGGUUGGGGAUGGACUCGCGGCUUAUCAGCUUGUUGGUGGGGUAGUGGCUUACCAAGGCUUUGACGGGUAGCCGGCCUGAGAGGGUGACCGGCCACAUUGGAACUGAGAUACGGCCCAGACCCCUACGGGAGGCAGCAGUGGGGAAUAUUGCACAAUGGGCGGAAGCCUGAUGCAGCAACGCCGCGUGCGGGAUGACGGCCUUCGGGUUGUAAACCGCUUUCGCCUGUGACGAAGCGUGAGUGACGGUAAUGGGUAAAGAAGCACCGGCUAACUACGUG
rnacentral:rRNA from 1 species